UCGCACUGUUCGUAACCUCUUGACAGCAUAUUUCUGUGAAUAGGUUCCAUUCCAGUGCUACAUGAAAUCCAAUAAUGGAAGGCUGACGAAUUCCAUGUCCCUUCUAUAUUUGGAGACAAAA
rnacentral:snoRNA from 1 species